UGCAAAAUCAUCAACCUUAUACCGGAGCAAGGGACAACACUUUUUGGAUCCGAUCCAGGAGAAAUCGUGGUCCUUGAAUUGCAAUCUAAGGGCUAAAAUUAACCAGAGGUAAUAUAGUUAUGUUUUUUUAAAUAUUUUUGAACUUUCAUACCUUGAGUUCAUCGACAUCAACAACUAGGAAAACAGCAUCUGGAUACGUAAAGGCUAACUCUUCAAAGAAAAAGUUCAUCGCCACUGAAGGCAUGCACCACGAAGCUGUAAAAUGGACUAUAACCUGCCAAUACAUAUAUAGUUCAUAUCAGACCCUGAUGAGAUCUAGUUUACGUAAUAAGAAUUGAAUCAUAUAUGUACAUACACGAUUGAUGAUAAGAACUUACAGGGGAAGCCUGGCUAAGUUUGGAAUCCCAUUGCUGCAAAGAUUCAACCUUUACGAUGUUUGCCUUGAUUUCCUGCCCAUGGCUCUCCAUUUUUUGCCCUCUCUCUGUUUCUUUGGUGGGGAAACGAAGAGAGCUUUUUAGAAGCAAGAAGAAGAUGAGCCGAUGAGGGGAACUGGGGAAGGUGUGAAACAAGUGGCGGGAACAGGGGAAAACAAUGGGCUUUGGCGUCUUGUCUGUAUUGGAGCCGUGGGACAGG
rnacentral:lncRNA from 1 species